GUCCCCGUAGCUCAAUUGGAUAGAGUGUUUGGCUUCGAACCAAAAGGUUGGGGGUUCGAGUCCCUCCGGGGACG
rnacentral:tRNA from 1 species